rnacentral:rRNA from 1 species
UACAGAGGUCUCAAGCGUUGUUCGGAUUCAUUGGGCGUAAAGGGUGUGUAGGUGGCGCGCUAAGUCGGGUGUGAAAUUUCGGAGCUUAACUCCGAAACUGCAUUCGAUACUGGCGUGCUUGAGGACUGGAGAGGAGACUGGAAUUCAUGGUGUAGCAGUGAAAAUGCGUAGAGAUCAUGAGGAAGACCAGUGGCGAAGGCGGGUCUCUGGACAGUUCCUGACACUGAGACACGAAGGCCAGGGGGAGCAAAACGGGG